rnacentral:lncRNA from 1 species
ACAAUGUUGAACAUUGAGUUGAAGUCCUGGAAUCUUGGUCAACUGCAGAUAGCAGCAUGGCGUAAAGCAGACGUCUUGUUUCCCAGUCCAGUUAUAGUCAGGUAUGAAACUCUGCAGUCAACACAGGUUUUUAGAGGUCUGCAAGAACAGAGUUUUAAAUUGUGAAACAAAACCUCUAACCAGAUCACAGAGAGUGUGUGUGUUAUGCUGUGCUGAGAUAUUGCUGUGACAUAUGGUGCAUUUAGGUCCACAACCUGGUAUGCAUAAUUUGUAUUUGUAACCUGUAAUUAACUGCAUAGCAAUGUACAUUUUAGUUUACACACUUCCUGAAGUAUAUGUAUUUUAGCUGUAAUAUGCCGACUACACACACAUGUAUAUGUUAGAGCCUUAAAUCUUAUUAUUUGAUUAAGAGAUAUGCUUAAUAUGAACAGUUCGGUAUUUUGUGUAACAACUUUGUGUCUUACAUGAUUGUAAGUAUUUAUAGUAAGUAUUGUUCAUAUUAUGUAUUUUCAGGAUGCGUUAUACUAAAU